ACACGUUUUACUCUCAUCUCAUUCUCACUCUCACACACAGAACACAGCCUCCAGCCCUCCGCAGUCACUCUAACACACAAGAAGGAGAGACAGAGAGAGAGACCCUUCACAUCGGUAAGUUUUACUCCACAGUCACUCCAAAUCUUCUUUCUGCCGCCGGCCUCCGCACACCGGCCUCCACACGAUGGCCUUCCCACACCAGUCUCCCCACGACACGAUCAUCUUCCUUCUUUUCUCACGUUUAUGGAGGCAGUUAUUGGGUUGCGAGCGGGUUCCCAGUGAUGGCUCGACCACCAAGGAAUCAUAAAAUGAUAAUUUUUGUUGUGUUGCUACAUCAAUUAGAUUUACUAUGUCAAAUGUGGAUGAUGUUAGUGCAUGUGUGCAAUAGUGAUUCUUUCUAGGAAUAGGAGAGUUGGAAGAAUUGGAGGUUGGGGUGACCAAAUAUUGGAGAGAGCAAAUGUGAGAAUUGUAAAUAUGAAUCAAAUGGUUUGGAUGGAUGAUACGGCAUCCAUAAACAAUGUACGAAUGGACAGGAGAGCAUUUAGAAAACUUUGUGACAUGCUCCACAUACAUAGGGGUUUGAGGCCAUCUAGGAAUAUGGAAAUGGAGGAGAUGGUAGCAUCUUUUCUACAUGUACUUGCACAUCUUGCAAAAAAUAGAGUUGUAGCACAACAAUUAGCUCGGUUAGGUGAGAGUAUAAGUAGAAACUUCAAUGCUGUAUUGCAUGAUGUCCUUCAUCUUCAUAGCAUCCUUUUUAAGAAAUCGGAGCGCCUAUAAUUACUUUGCAUGAAUGGUUUUGUGAGCAACAUUACUUUGAAUAAAUUGUUUACAAAAUUAAUGGUUAAAUUAACUGAAAUCUCAUUAUAUUCUAAUUUUAUGCUAGCAAGUGGCAUCUGAUAUGGGACCUGGUGGUAAAAGUUCCCUUUUUUUUUUCCUUUUUAUCAUUAUUAUUUUUUUUAAAGAAUGGGUAAUGCAUUUGUGGGGUAUCAUUUUAUUUAGCUUUCUUUAUAUGUGAUAAAAGUUUCCAAUAAUCUGCCUCUUUGAUAAGUUUUCAUAUAUAAAGUCCUGAUUGCAUUAUCCAGGUUACAAAUUUUUAUUUCACAAUUAGAAUCCACUUUCUAUUGCUAAUCUUUGAAGUAAUAAAAAUAUUAGGGUGAAAAAAUAAACACUUAGCCACAUUAUUAUAUAUGCUUUUGACUCAAUGGUGGGUAUUUUCUUUUGGCAAAAAUAGCAAGAUUGAAGUACUAAUUAAUCUACAUUCGGAUACCAAUACACUUUUAAAGAGAACCACACAUUAUUAUAUAUGCUUUUGACUCAAUGGUGGGUAUUUUCUUUUGGCAAAAAAAGCAAGAUUGAAGUACUAAUUAAUCUACAAUCGGAUACCAAUACACUUUUAAAGAGAACCACACAUUAUGCUAAAUAGGCUUAAUUUGUCCAGUUGUUCAAUGCACUAGUAUUUAACGAAGAGAAUAUAUCUUAUAUAGUAGCAUUCCCGAUUAGUGCAAUGUGUCAAAAUAGAUAUAUAAUGUGUUAGGUCACCUUUAAAAAGCAUAUUUUUCUUGAAUUGAUCUGGUUGUGAAUCAAGUUAUGAGAAAAUUUCCACCAGAUAAUUGGAUAAAUCCUAUAAUCCUACUUUUUUUCUCAACCUGGCCAGAUGAUCCAAGAUCUACUUAGUAAAAUAUAUAUAUAUAUAUAUAUAUUUUUUGUGGGUAAGUUGUUUUCAUGUUUUAGUUAUAACGUUAAAAUGAGUUUGAAAGAAUUUUUCUGUUUAACUCAUAUAUAAAUUAUUGGAGCAAAGUUUAGUUACAAAAUUGGUUGCAGUUUUAGCCUAUAAUCUUACUCAAUAUCUUUUUAGUGGAGGUGAAUUUUGAUAAAUCCACCAUUAGAUUACAGGUUCGUUUGAAUACAGUUGAAAAUUGAAAACACUGUAGCAAAAUAAUUUUUAAAUGUGUAAAA